rnacentral:rRNA from 1 species
GAUGAACGCUGGCGGCGUGCCUCAAACAUGCAAGUCGAGCGGGGCUAUGUAAUAUCGCAAGGUAGAACAUAGCCUAGCGGCGAACGGGUGAGUAACACGUGGGUAACCUGCCUGGAAGACAGGGAUAACGAUUCGAAAGGGUCGCUAAUACCUGAUAAUAUCCUUUCAUCGCAUGGUGAUAGGAAGAAAGGGGAAACCCGCUUUCAGAUGGGCCCGCGUCCCAUCAGCUAGUUGGUAAGGUAAAGGCUUACCAAGGCGACGACGGGUAGCCGGUCUGAGAGGAUGUACGGCCACACUGGGACUGAGAUACGGCCCAGACUCCUACGGGAGGCAGCAGUUGGGAAUCUUAGGCAAUGGACGAAAGUCUGACCUAGCGACGCCGCGUGAGGGAAGAAGGCCUUCGGGUUGUAAACCUCUGGUCAGUGGGGAAGAAGGUAAGUGACGGUACCCAAGAGGAAGCCCCUGCUAACUACGUG